rnacentral:lncRNA from 1 species
AAGACACCAUGGCUUCUUCAUCUUCCAUCAUGAAAGACAACCCUAGCUGAACCCUAGAACUAGAUACUAGCCAUCUCGCCGCCAGCCGUCUUUAACACCCAACCACCGGCGACCCUACUGGUUCCAUCAACUUCUCUAGCGGUCCGGCGAGCUCGCCGGAAAUCUAGCACAAACAAAUGAACAAUAGUAGCAACAUAACCACUAGCGGACCACAACGACCACCCUUCUUCAAGCAGACCCCGACCUCUUUCCCGUUUCCGUCUCGCUCCCAUUGCUGGAAAACUCACCGGAAACGAGAGAGCAAAAGCUCCAGUAUCCAUCGGGCAGAAUUUAAAAAAAAAAGAGUGUAUUGAGAGUUCCGUCGAGUCUGAUUCGUGUUCGUGCCGAUUCGAAGUUCGUCUAUAGUUCAUCGCGUUUUGAGUUCAACGCUGCCUUACGGUUGAUUUUCAGAUUUGUUUGCGGUUGAUUCCUUCUUUCUUCUAUUCUAUUAUGCUUAAUAUUAUGAUUCUAUCAUUCCCUUAGUCUAUUUUUGCCUUGUUCCCUUGGUGUUAUGCAUAUGAUUG